AGAUAUAUAGUAAUCCGGUCUUAAUAGAAGAUCGUUACGGUUUUCAUUCAUACAUGCCAUUGUAUGUGUAUUUGUUUGAUAGAACUACACAUAUUUAUAAGAACUGAUCGUUACAAAAUAUAUUGGCAAACAAGGUUAAAAUGUGUCUUUGGAAAAAUCGUCCCGACGUGGUCAGAAAGAGUUAUCCCCCUUGGCCGGCAAAGCGAUCGGUUUUCGAUCAAACAUUUAUCGAUACUGAGAUGGAGAACGUCAACGUGCCUGCUGACCCUGCACAUGACGCAUGGUAUCCAAGUGGGCUGUGUCCUGCCACAUUCAGGAAAUUUGAGGUGCAACCUUUGUAGGAAAUCAGUUUAAAAGUAGACCCAGUGAGAUGGGCUGGGCGGAAGGGAAAAUAAUAUGCUUCAAGGACUGUGAGACAGACAGGGAUGCAACUCUGCCCAGCAAAUUGAGUGAUCAUAUGUUCCAUUUGGUCAUGCCAUCAUCUUUCACCUUUUUGUGUCCUAAUAAUGGAAUGUACCAGUAAGUGUAAUAACCUUGUACCUGCAAUAUUUCCUAUGAAUCUUUUUGGAAGUGAAGCUAUGAUUGGUUAUAUAUGUAUGUUAUUAUGCACUCCAACAAUGGUAUAAAAUAGAUCUACUGUUCUUUCCAGAUUUCAGAUUCAGAUUAUCAUGCCAUGGUCAUACCCUUUGCAUGCACCCUUGUAUCUAGAUUACAGGUUUCACUGUCCAGUUACAAGAAGCCUGGUGUAAAUAGCUUGUUUGGUCCAGUUGCACCCAACAAAGGGCAACUACCAUGCUGUAAUGAAACUUGAUGGUAUCAGUUUACACCAACGCUAAACUACAUAUACAGCUCCCAAUACAGUGUGCUUUGAGAAGGGAGAGCAACUAUGCCCUGUACGUUCUGGAAAGAAGAAGUGUUGAGAAGAAGAGUUCUGUGUUGAAGUCAGCAUUGACAUCCUUAGUAGUGAAAAGAUCAGCAGGGAGUAGCAUCAGUUCGCUACUGUGUGGCGGGACAGUGUUUCUCCCUAUACUCAUGGACAGUACUGUACAUCUAAACAUAUGAUUCAUAUUAUAUAUUGUUUCAUAAUGUGAGGUGUGUUUUUUUCAUUCAAAAUAUCAAUUAUCAUAUAUGGUGAAUUUAGCAUCUUACAAAUAUACUGUGCAUGGAAUUUCUUCACUGACACUGUUUUCAGCAUUUUGAGGCAAAACUCUUUUCAUGUGUUACAUUUAUGUUUAUUGUUUCCUCAACAAUAAAGAACUAGCAAAAUGA